rnacentral:rRNA from 1 species
GACAGAGGCCUCAAGCGUUUAGGCGGAAUCACUGGGCUUAAAGCGUGUGUAGGCGGAUCGUUAAGUGUCUUGUGAAAUCCCACGGCUCACCCGUGGAACUGCUGGGCAUACUGGCGAUCUUGGGCCAACUAGGGGCAGCCGGAACAAGCGGUGGAGCGGUGAAAUGCGUAGAUAUCGCUUGGAACGCCGAAGGUGAAAACAGGUUGCUGGGGUUGUGCCGACGCUGAGACACGAAAGCCAGGGGAGCAAACAGG